GUGCCAGCAGCCGCGGUAAUACGGAGGGUGCAAGCGUUGUCCGGAUUUAUUGGGUUUAAAGGGUGCGCAGGUGGUUUAUUAAGUCAGUGGUGAAAGACGGUCGCUCAACGAUUGCAGUGCCAUUGAAACUAGUAGACUUGAGUAAAGUAGAGGUGGGCGGAAUUGAUAGUGUAGCGGUGAAAUGCAUAGAUAUUAUCAAGAACUCCAAUUGCGUAGGCAGCUCACUUGGCUUUUACUGACACUCAUGCACGAAAGUGUGGGUAUCAAACAGGAUUAGAUA
rnacentral:rRNA from 1 species